UUUAGUAAUGUAUUUAUAUGAAAACAUCAAUCAUGGCUAAUCUCUAAAGACCAAAUCUAAAUUAAUUAAUCUUAUCAUAAGUCGCUCAAUCACAUUAAUUACUAUUUUCAUACGUCGCCAAAAUUACACUAUCCCUUUGAUGUUUUGGUGCUUGGCUCCCUCCUCUCCUAAGUCCCUCUCAAGGAAGGAACUCAAUAGGCAAUCCCUCCUUCCAAGUGAAGCACAUCUUGACCAAGGAAAUAAAUCGGGUGACAAUCUUCUCUGAUAUGAACGAUUAACUGCAGAUGGACGUCUCGAGAAAGAAGAAAGGGGUAGAGUGUCGUAUUUUGCUAGAUCACACCACAUAUCUUUUCAACCGUGUCUCCCGUGUGAGCGCAUGAUGUGGCGCUAUGGUCGUUGUCGUGUAUGUCGUAACCCGCAUCAUCCAUGGAGCUCUAGCCACUCCAAUCCAAUGGCCCCUUCCCCUACAUCUUCAACAUAUUCGUCCAUACUUCAUUUGUUUGUCACCCCUUGGUCCCACCCUCCCAGCGUCAAAGUCAUAUAUGGAAACAAUACCAAA
rnacentral:lncRNA from 1 species